AUGGCUUGGACCCCUCUCCUGCUUGCCCUAGUUGCUCACUGCAUAGUCUCUGUGGCCUCCUACGUGUUGACGCAGCCAACAUCAGUGUCAGUGACCCUGGGACAGACAGCCAGAUUCACCUGUGGGGGAAACAACAUUGGAAACAAAGUUGUUCACUGUACCAGCAGAAGCCAGGACAAGCCCCUGUGCUGGUGAUUUAUGAUGAUAACAGCCGGCCCUCAGGGAUCCCUGACCGAUUCUCUGGCUCCAACUCGGGGAACACAGCCACCCUGACCAUCAGCAGGGUCCAGGCUGAGGAUGAGGCUGACUAUUACUGUCAGGUGUGGGACAGCAGUGGUAAAGCGAGCGCACAGUGA